AUUGAACGCUGGCGGCAGGCUUAACACAUGCAAGUCGAGCGGAGACUUCGGUCUUAGCGGCGAACGGGUGAGUAAUACCUAGGAAUCUGCCCAUUAGCGGGGGACAACGUUUCGAAAGGAACGCUAAUACCGCAUACGCCCUACGGGGAAAGGACAGGGGAGUCUUUUGUACCUUGCACUAAUGGAUGAGCCUAGGCCGGAUUAGCUAGUUGGUAGGGUAAAGGCCUACCAAGGCGACGAUCUGUAGCUGGUCUGAGAGGAUGACCAGCCACACUGGAACUGAGACACGGUCCAGACUCCUACGGGAGGCAGCAGUGGGGAAUAUUGGACAAUGGGCGCAAGCCUGAUCCAGCCAUGCCGCGUGUGUGAAGAAGG
rnacentral:rRNA from 1 species